rnacentral:rRNA from 1 species
UACGUAGGUGGCUAGCGUUGUCAGGAUUUAUUGGGCGUAAAGCGAACGCAGGCGGGAGAACAAGUCAGCUGUGAAAGCCCUCGGCUUAACCGAGGAACGGCAACUGAUACUGUUUGUCUUGAGUGCAGAAGAGGAUAGUGGAACUCCAUGUGUAGCGGUGAAAUGCGUAGAUAUAUGGAAGAACACCAGUGGCGAAGGCGGCUCUCUGGUCUGUAACUGACGCUGAGGUUCGAAAGCAUGGGUAGCGAACAGG